CCCUGGCAGUCAGAGGCGAUGAAGGACGUGCUAAUCUGCGAAAAGCGUCGGUAAGGUGAUAUGAACCGUUAUAACCGGCGAUGUCCGAAUGGGGAAACCCAGUGCAAUUCGUUGCACUAUCGUUAACUGAAUACAUAGGUUAACGAGGCGAACCGGGGGAACUGAAACAUCUAAGUACCCCGAGGAAAAGAAAUCAACCGAGAUUCCCCCAGUAGCGGCGAGCGAACGGGGAGCAGCCCAGAGUCUGAAUCAGCUUGUGUGUUAGUGGAACGGUCUGGAAAGUCCGACGGUACAGGGUGAUAGUC
rnacentral:rRNA from 3 species